ACAGUGCGAACGUAGAACGGGCGACGCGGGUCAAAGUGUGGUAUCUGUUCUUGUCAGCUUAAUAUCUGAUACGGCAUGUAUUCGGACAUAAGAUAUUACACUUAUUUUUGCAAGUUGGUGCAGAGCUUAACGCCUGAUUCACCUCCUCCGCUGGUCGGCGCGGUAUUGCACUAGCUUCGGGAUCGGGCCACAUAUG